rnacentral:misc_RNA from 1 species
UUUCCGUAGGUGAACCUGCGGAAGGAUCAUUAACAACAAGUGUGAGGGGGGAGCGUUAGCGAUCCCCGAGCUAAGCGAUGGCCCGCAAGGGUCAUCACAAUCAACUGAUCAUAAUUAGACAUUAAAUUUAGAAUAUAUACAACUUUUAACAAUGGAUCUCUUGGUUCCC